GAUGAACGCUGGCGGCGUGCCUAAUACAUGCCAGUCGAGCGAACAGACGAGGAGCUUGCUCCUCUGACGUUAGCGGCGGACGGGUGAGUAACACGUGGAUAACCUACCUAUAAGACUGGGAUAACUUCGGGAAACCGGAGCUAAUACCGGAUAAUAUAUUGAACCGCAUGGUUCAAUAGUGAAAUACGGUUUUGCUGUCACUUAUAGAUGGAUCCUCGCCGCAUUAGCUAGUUGGUAAGGUAACGGCUUACCAAGGCAACGAUGCGUAGCCGACCUGAGAGGGUGAUCGGCCACACUGGAACUGAGACACGGUCCAGACUCCUACGGGAGGCAGCAGUAGGGAAUCUUCCGAAAUGGGCGAAAGCUUGACGGAGCAACGCCGCGUGAGUGAUGAAGGUCUUCGGAUCGUAAAACUCUGUUAUUAGGGAAGAACAAAUGUGUAAGUAACUAUGCACGUCUUGACGGUACCUAAUCAGAAAGCCACGGCUAACUACGUG
rnacentral:rRNA from 1 species